GACGAACGCUGGCGGCGUGCUUAACACAUGCAAGUCGAGCGGUAAGGCCCUUUCGGGGGUACACGAGCGGCGAACGGGUGAGUAACACGUGGGUGACCUGCCCUCAGCUCUGGGAUAAGCCUGGGAAACCGGGUCUAAUACUGGAUAUGACUCCAUGACGCAUGUUGGUGGGGUGGAAAGCCUUGUGCGGCUGAGGAUGGGCCCGCGGCCUAUCAGCUUGUUGGUGGGGUGAGGCCUACCAAGGCGACGACGGGUAGCCGGCCUGAGAGGGCGACCGGCCACACGUGGGACUGAGACACGGCCCAGACUCCUACGGGAGGCAGCAGUGGGGAAUCUUGCGCAAUGGGCGAAAGCCUGACGCAGCGACGCCGCGUGAGGGAU
rnacentral:rRNA from 1 species